rnacentral:rRNA from 1 species
GAUGAACGCUGACAGAAUGCUUAACACAUCAGCAAUUGAUUGGUGGCGGACGGGUGAGUAACGCGUAAAGAACUUGCCUCACAGGUAGGGACAACAUUUGGAAACGAAUGCUAAUACCUAAUACUGUGAGAGAGCUUUGCGUCCCAUUAGCUAGUUGGAGAGGUAACGGCUCACCAAGGCGAUGAUGGGUAGCCGGCCUGAAAGGGUGAUCGGCUACAAGGGCACUGAGACACGUGCCUUGCGCAUACUGGAGGCAGCAGUGGGGAAUAGUUGACAACUGACCAAAGUCUGAAUCAGCAAUUCUGUGUGCAGGAUGAAGUUUUCGGAAUGAAAAGUGUAUUCAGUUGGCAAGCGGUACCAACAGAAGAAGUACCGGCUAAAUACGUGCCAGCAGCCGCGGUAAUAC